UACGGAGGAGGCAAGCGUUAUCCGGAAUUAUUGGGCGUAAAGCGUCCGUAGGUGGUUCACCAAGUCUGCUGUCAAAGGGUGGGGCUUAACCUCAUAAAGGCAGUGGAAACUGGUGAGCUAGAGUGCGGUAGGGGUAAGGGGAAUUCCAAGUGUAGCGGUGAAAUGCGUAGAGAUUGGGAAGAACAUCGGUGGCGAAAGCGCCUUACUGGGCCUGCACUGACACUGAGGGAAGAAAGCUAGGGGAGCGAAAGGG
rnacentral:rRNA from 1 species